UUUUUCAAGCUUGGUGCAGCAGUGAUCAACUCUUCGAUCGAAGGUCCAUCCGUGGUUCGAUUGAGCUGAUUUUUGGACAGCAGCUAGGCGAUAAGGUGUUCUUGACUUUGUACGGUCGGAUUUUUCAUCCGAGUCUUGUAGCGUCGGAAAUACCCAUUUUUCAGCAGCUACGUUUUUGGUGAUGUUCUCUCAUUUUUCUCUCUUUUGCUAAAGAUUACAUAUUGUUAGCCUUGUCGGAGUUGAAUGCUUGUUGUAGGCUUGAUAUUGUAAUCUUGUAGCCAAACAUUUGAUGAUAGUGGAGCUCUUUAUCGGACUCUAAAGUCCCGUGGUUUUUACCCUUGAUUUAAAGGGGUUUUCCACGUAAAAAUAUCGGUGUCUCUAUUUAUUUUUGUUGUGGUUACAUUAGUUGAUUUGUGGUUGAUUAAGGUUGCUAGAGAACAUAUCUUGUGCUAUUGUGCUUGCCAUAAUUUUUGACAGAAGUUAUAAGGAGAGAAAGAACACCGGUUGUGCUUUCGCUUUGUUUCGGUUGUUCGGUUUCUUCCCAACAAACUGGUAUCAGAGCUUGGUUAUUGUGUCAGGUAAUUAUGGAAAUUAAUACGAGCAAGAUGAUUAUGUUGAAUGGCACAAAUUAUCAACUUUGGCGGAAUAAAAUGAAUGACUUGUUGUUUGUGAAGGCUUUGCAUCUUUCGGUCUUUACUACUCAAAAACCCGAUUCGAAAAGUGAUGAAGAAUGGGAAUUUGAGCAUCAACAAGUGUGUGGCUUUAUUCGGCAAUUUGUUGAAGAAAAUGUUUACAACCACAUUGAUCAAGAGACACAUGCUCGAACAUUGUGGGAGAAGCUUGAAAGCUUGUAUGCUUCGAGGUCGGGCAAUAACAAGUUAUUUUUGCUGAAGAAAAUGAUGGCGCUGAAAUACAAAGAAGGAAUAUCUAUAGCUGACCAUGUUAGUGAAUUUCAGAGUGUGAUGAAUCAGUUGCUUGGUAUGGGUGUCAAAUUUGAUGACGAGAUUUUAGGACUUUGGUUGCUUGCUACUCUACCAGACUCUUGGGAGACCUUUCGAGUCUCACUCAUUAAUUCUGCCCUACAGGGUAUUAUUACUUUGGAUUUGGCUAAGAGUGGUGUGUUGAAUGAAGAGGUUAGAAGAAGAUCUCAGGAUUCUACAUCACAGUCCGAGGUGUUGGUUAUCGAGAACAGGGGAAGAAACAGAGACAAAGAUGGAAAGGGUAGAGAUAAAAGCCGAAGCAAGUCAAGAUCGAGAUACAAGAAUCUUGAGUGUCAUCAUUGUGGUAAGAAAGGUCAUAUCAAGAAAUAUUGCUUCAAGUGGAAGAAAGAGAACAAAGGUGGUGGUGAUAAACACGAUCGGAAUGACGAUGAAAAAUCUAAGCCUGUUGCUACUGUUACUCGUGAAAAUCUGUUAGUUAUUUGUGAUGAGAAUUUGGUCAACCUAGCAUGCGACGAGACUAGUUGGGUGAUUGAUACUGGUGCAUCACUUCAUGUCACGUCGAGGAAGGAAUUCUUCACAUCUUAUACUCCUGGUGAUUUUGGGGUAUUGAAGAUGGGUAAUGAUGGUUUGGUUUCGGUUAUUGGUAUGGGAGAUGUUAGCUUGGUAAGUAACAAUGGAACAAAGUUAACUCUCAAGGAUGUCAGACAUGCACCGGAUGUCCGUUUGAAUUUGAUUUCUGCAGGAAAACUUGAUGAUGAGGGAUUCUGUAACACCUUCAGUGAAGGGCAGUGGAAGCUGACUAAAGGCUCAUUGGUUGUGGCUCGAGGAAAGAAGAGCUCAAAUUUGUACUUGAUGCAAGCUUUGACUUCUCGAGAGACGGUGAAUGUGACACUGAAUGACAACUCAACUGAGUUGUGGCAUAAACGACUCAGUCACAUGAGUGAGAAGGGGCUUAGCUGUUUAGCGAAGAAGAAUCAACUUUCGGGUUUAAAGAAUGCUACACUGAAGAAUUGUGCUCAUUGUCUAGCAGGAAAGCAGAAAAGAGUUUCAUUUAGAAGCCAUCCUCCUCAUAGGAAAUCAGAGUUGCUAGAGUUGGUCCAUUCAGAUGUUUGUGGUCCGAUAAAAGUAAGAUCACAUGGUGGUGCACUUUACUUUGUGACUUUCAUUGAUGAUUGUUCAAGAAAGCUAUGGGUUUACACUUUGAAGUCUAAAAAUCAAGUCUUUGAGGUGUUUAAAUAGUUUCAAGCAUCAGUUGAAAGGGAAACUGGGAAGAAGUUGAAGUGCAUUCGUACUGAUAAUGGUGGUGAGUACACAGGGUCGUUUCAUGAGUAUUGUCUGUGACAGGGAAUCAGACAUCAGAGAACACCACCAAAGACUCCACAGUUAAAUGGGUUAGCUGAAAGAAUGAACCGAACAUUGAUUGAGAGAGUCAGAUGUUUGUUGUCAGAUGCAAAGUUACCAAGAUCAUUUUGGGCUGAAGCUUUGAAUACAGUGACACAUGUGAUAAAUCUGUCUCCUAGUGUUCCUUUGAAAGGUGAUGUGCCAGAUAGAGUUUGGUUUGGUAAAGACGUGUCAUAUGAUCACCUACGUGUGUUCGGUUGUAAAGCAUUUGUUCAUGUUCCAAAGGAUGAAAGAUCCAAGUUGGAUGCCAAGGCUCGACAAUGCAUUUUUAUUGGUUAUGGUCUAGAUGGUGAGUUUGGUUAUAGACUCUAUGAUCCAGUUCAGAAGAAACUCAUGAGAAGCAGAGAUGUUGUCUUCAUUGAGGAUCAGACCAUUGAUGACAUUAAUAAGACGGAGAAAGUGGAUUCACAAGGUAGUGGUGACUUGAUCGAUGUGAAUCCGGUUCCCCUAGACUCUUCACCAGAUCCUAUCCAGGAUGAUGUGCAUGGUGAUGUUAUUGGUGACCAUCAGACUAUAGGUGACUUUGAUACUCCCAUGGAUGAUGUUGUGAAUGAUCAACAACAAGCACCUAUAGCUCCACCAUCAGUUCCACUUCGAAGGUCUUCCAGAGAUCGACGAUCUUUUGUCAGGUAUUCUCCUGAUGAAUAUGUUCUUUUGACUGACGGGGGAGAACCUGAAUGUUAUGAAGAGGCUAUGGAGAGUGAAUGCAAAGAUCAGUGGGUUGAAGCGAUGAAAGACGAACUUCAAUCCUUGCAUGAGAACCAUACUUUUGAAUUGGUGAAACUGCCUAAGGGCAAAAGAGCUUUGAAUAAUCGGUGGGUUUACAGGUUGAAGCAAGAAGAGAAGUCUUCAUCUCCACGAUACAAAGCUAGAUUGGUCGUCAAGGGUUAUACUCAGAAAAAAGGGGUUGAUUUUGAAGAAAUAUUUUCUCCGGUUGUGAAGAUGUCCUCUGUUAGAACUAUACUGAGUUUGGCAGCUUGUUAUGACCUAGAGGUUGAACAAAUGGAUGUGAAAACUUCUUUUCUUCAUGGUGACUUGGAAGAAGAGCUUUACAUGGAGCAGCCAGAGGGUUUUGUUGCACAAGGGAAAGAGGACUAUGUGUGCAGAUUGAAGAAGAGCUUGUAUGGUUUGAAGGAAGCUCCAAGGCAAUGGUACAAGAAGUUUGAGUCUGUUAUGGGGGAGCAAGGCUACAAGAAGACUACUUCUGAUCAUUGUGUGUUUGUUAAGAGAUUCUCUGGUGAUGAUUUUAUUAUUCUUUUGCUCUAUGUUGAUGAUAUGCUUAUUGUUGGUCAGAAUGCUUCUAGAAUUGAGAAGUUGAAACAAGAGUUGAGUAAAUCCUUUGCAAUGAAGGAUUUGGGGCCAGCAAAGCAAAUUCUUGGCAUAAGACUGACACGUGAUAGAAAGGCCAAGAAAUUAUGGUUAUCACAAGAGAGGUACAUUGAGAAAGUACUUCAAAGGUUUAGUAUGGACAAAGCUAAAGCGGUGAAUACUCCCUUUGCUAUGCACUUUAGAUUGAGUGUUAAGCAUAGUCCUUCCACAGAAAAGGAGAAGGAAGAGAUGCAGAAAAUUCCUUACUCUUCAGCCGUGGGUAGUUUGAUGUACGCAAUGGUUUGCACGAGACCAGACUUGGCUUAUGCUGUUGGUACAGUUAGUUGGUUUCUUUCUAAUCCAGGCAGAGAGCAUUGGAAUGCAGUGAAGUGGAUUAUGAGAUAUCUUCGUGGCACUUCAAACAUGAAACUUUGUUUCGGCAAUGAGAAACCUGUUCUUGUUGGGUAUACAGAUUCAGACAUGGCCGGAGACAUUGACUCGAGGAGAUCUACUUCAGGUUACUUAAUCACUUAUGCAGGGGGAGCUGUGGCAUGGCAAUCGAGACUGCAAAGUGUGUUGCAUUGUCCACCACCGAAUCAGAGUUCAUUGCAGCAACCGAAGCGUGUAAGGAGAUGCUUUGGAUGAAGAAGUUUGUGCAUGAGCUUGGUUUUACUCAGGAGAAGUAUGUCCUGUACUGUGAUAGCCAGAGUGCUAUUCAUCUUGGUAAGAACUCAACUUUUCAUGCUAGAUCUAAGCAUAUUGAUGUGAGGUACCAUUGGAUACGAGAUGUUCUUGAAGCUAAGAUGUUAGAGCUUGAGAAGAUACACACUAAUGAUAAUGGUGCUGAUAUGUUGACGAAGGCCUUACCAAGAGGAAAGUUUGAAGCAUGUUGUUUGACCUCCGGCAUGGAGGCAUUCCCCACAUAGUUGGAGGGGGAGAUUUGUUGGGUAUGGGUCCCACUAUGUGGGAAACCCAUAAUUUCUGCCACAUUUUAUUGUCUCUUUUUGGUUUUGUCAAAAGCCAUUUUUUGGGGGUUUUUAACGGGUGUUGGGCAGAAAUUUUUGUAGAGCAAAAAAAAAAUCUCAAAUUAAAACAGAGAGAAAGAGAGAAGAAAAUUUCAGUUUUUCAAGCUUGGUGCAGCAGUGAUCAACUCUUCGAUCGAAGGUCCAUCCGUGGUUCGAUUGAGCUGAUUUUUGGACAGCAGCUAGGCGAUAAGGUGUUCUUGACUUUGUACGGUCGGAUUUUUCAUCCGAGUCUUGUAGCAUCGGAAAUACCCAUUUUUCAGCAGCUACGUUUUUGGUGAUGUUCUCUCAUUUUUCUCUCUUUUGCUAAAGAUUACAUAUUAUUAGCCUUGUCGGAGUUGAAUGCUUGUUGUAGGCUUGAUAUUGUGAUCUUGUAGCCGAACAUUUGAUGAUAGUGGAGCUCUUUAUCGGACUCUAAAGUCCCGUGGUUUUUACCCUUGAUUUAAAGG
rnacentral:lncRNA from 1 species